AGUGAAUGCUACAGGUAUGCUUAACACAUGCAAGUCGAACGAAGCAUAUGCUUAGUGGCGUACGGGUGAGUAGAAUAGGGGAACUAAAAGUAAGACUAGGACAAGGGAUUUUUCCGUAUAAAUCCUAGAUAUUGAAAGGAUUAUAUCGCUUACUUCAAGGCCUUUAUAGGAUUAGGUUGUUGGUUGUGUAAUGGACUACCAAGCCUGUGAUCCUUAGCUGGUCUGAGAGGAUGAUCAGCCACACUGGGACUGAAACAAGGCCCAGACUUCUAUGGAGGGCAGCAGUGAGGAAUAUUGGACAAUGAGUGCAAACUUGAUCCAGCAAUACCUACUGAGUGAUGAAGGGAACUCU
rnacentral:rRNA from 1 species